rnacentral:rRNA from 1 species
GACGAACGCUGGCGGCGUGCCUAAUACAUGCAAGUAGAACGCUGAAGGAGGAGCUUGCUUCUCCGGAUGAGUUGCGAACGGGUGAGUAACGCGUAGGUAACCUGCCUGGUAGCGGGGGAUAACUAUUGGAAACGAUAGCUAAUACCGCAUAACAGUAGAUAUUGCAUGAUAUCUGCUUGAAAGGUGCAAUUGCAUCACUACCAGAUGGACCUGCGUUGUAUUAGCUAGUUGGUGGGGUAACGGCUCACCAAGGCGACGAUACAUAGCCGACCUGAGAGGGUGAUCGGCCACACUGGGACUGAGACACGGCCCAGACUCCUACGGGAGGCAGCAGUAGGGAAUCUUCGGUAAUGGACGGAAGUCUGACCGAGCAACGCCGCGUGAGUGAAGAAGGUUUUCGGAUCGUAAAGCUCUGUUGUAAGAGAAGAACGAGUGUGAGAGUGGAAAGUUCACACUGUGACGGUAUCUUACCAGAA